rnacentral:rRNA from 1 species
GACGUAGGAGGCGAGCGUUGUCCGGAUUCAUUGGGCGUAAAGAGCGCGCAGGCGGCUUGGUAAGUCGGAUGUGAAAUCCCGAGGCUCAACCUCGGGUCUGCAUCCGAUACUGCCCGGCUAGAGGUAGGUAGGGGAGAUCGGAAUUCCUGGUGUAGCGGUGAAAUGCGCAGAUAGUCGAGAAGAACACCGGUGGCGAAGGCGGCCAUCUGGACAGAUACUGACGCUGAGACGCGAAAGCCGUGGGGAGCAAACAGG